ACACACCAUGGCUUGUCCCCCAUAUCGUAACCACGGGAACUGCACCAACCAUUGUUGUUGAAAACUGUACUUUUUUUUUUUCUCCCCACUCCCCCCCGCCUUUUUCACCAACCUGUCACUGUCGCUUCCUCUGCUAACCCUUCUCCACCACCACCAACAGUAGGGGUGCAAUGGAUCACAAAACUCACGGUUCGGAUCGUGUCACGGUUUUUGAAUCACGGGUCGGAUCAUUUUCGGAUCAACAACAGCAAAAAAGAUAACGAGACAAAUGUGACUUUAAAUAAAAUCUUCAAAUGUGUAAAAACAAAAUAAAGUGAAAAAUUUGAUAUUAGGGAUGGGCGUGAGGAAUCGAUUACUCGAGUACUACUCGUUACAAAUGAACUCGGUUGGUGGACAGGCAAACUCGAGUUUGCAUAUACACACACAAACAAAGUUUUCUGAAGCAAAUGUAUCAAUUUUCUGUCGGCGCCACUAACGCAUGACGUGGGCACAAAGAAAAUUAAAUGCAUCCAUUUCCAUGGCGCGUUCCGUGGCGUGUGCAGGCACGCCAGAAUUCAAAAAGUUAAGAGAUGGCGGUUAAAGCAAACCGCAGCGAAGAAUUGAAAUACUUUAAAGAAAUAGGAGAUCAUAAGGUGAAAUGAAAAAUAUGCCAAGCGAAAUCGAGCUACCAGAAAGUACUAUGCGGCAACAUAUGCUCCUGAAACACAACAGUGAGUUCGGGAAAGCAGACCCGCAGCAACGGUGAAAGUGAAAGUGUGUCGGCUAUAUUUUCACCGCCGCAAGACGCAGCUGUAAUCCCGGGCGUGUAGAGAAGAUCACAACGCUGAGUAUUUCCAUAGUCCAUUUGCUGCCGUUUUAUUUGCAGCUUUAAGCAUUUAUUUGCAAUUGUUAGGCUACUUGUUUCGUUUUUUUUAAACUGUUACAGGCCUUGGUUCGACGUGAUUUAAAUUGUGAGACGCAUAUUUAUUUUUGUAAGGGAAAUGUGUUUUGAACGUUUGCAAAAAUAAAUAAUGAAUACUCUGAUAA